rnacentral:rRNA from 1 species
UACAGAGGUCUCAAGCGUUGUUCGGAUUCAUUGGGCGUAAAGGGUGCGUAGGCGGUGAGGUAAGUCGGAUGUGAAAUCCCGGAGCUCAACCCCGGAACUGCAUUCGAUACUGCUUUACUUGAGGACUGGAGAGGAGAUUGGAAUUCACGGUGUAGCAGUGAAAUGCGUAGAUAUCGUGAGGAAGACCAGUGGCGAAGGCGAAUCUCUGGACAGAUCCUGACGCUGAGGCACGAAGGCUAGGGGAGCAAACGGG